ACGGAAUUUAAUUCCCGCCGUAAAUCCGUCACGAAUCCGUCAAGAAAUUUUAAUUUCUUAAAAUAUUACUUUUUUUUAUUCGCCCGUCGAGAAUCUGUCGACAAUUAUUAAAUUUAAUUCAAAAUUUCGGUGCCCGUCGACAAUCCGUCGAGAAAGUUAUUUUUUUAAUUAUUUUUAAUAUUUCGAUUUCCCGUCGUGAAUCCAUCGAGAAUAUUUUUAAUACUGAAUAGUAUGUGUAUGUCCUCCCCAAAGUUCAGUUCGUCUACGCCAUUUCCCCCAAACUCAUUUCAGUUGCCCUACGCCAUUGCCGGAGUCCGCUGCCGCCGUUCGCCACCUGCCGGAGUCGAUCUGCUGCCUCUCUCUCCCUCGACGUUCACCAUCGAUCUUUCCCGUUCGUCGCGCCGUCCGCCGAAGUCCCUUGCUUCUGUCUGCCGCCGCCUCGCCCACUGCUGUACCUCCUCUCUCUCUCUCUCUCUCAAAUUUGAAAGGUGCCUUCAAAGUUAAUUUUCUGAUUCUGAUUUCUGAUCUCCGCCGGCUAUGGUUCCGUCAAUUUUCUGUAUCGCCAAUGAGGAAGAAAUCCCAAGAAUAGGAAGUGUCGUAUGACACAUUAAAACACAGCAUUUUUAUAGCUUGUGAUUGUCUGCUGAUUUGAAGUCUUUAGAGACAAUUGAUGCUAGUUAUUAUGGUGGUCUUCUCAGUAUAUCCUGCACAUUAAAACAUUUUCACAUUCUCUGUAAUGAGUUUUUUUUUUCUUACAUCAAAGGACAUGCCCCCAACUAUGUGUGGUCACUGCUCAUGAGAUUGAAUGAUUUAAGAACAAGCUCAUGAGAUUGUAUGCUGCAGAAUAGGCGAAAAGGUGAGAGACCGGGUGAGGAAUCAAAGAUCAGUUGCAGUGAGCUUGCUUCUACUAUAAAUGAUGGCCUCUACUUUUAUGAGCAGUAGAUGAGGAUGAUGAAGAAGAUGUUGACACCAAUGAAGAUGUUGCUCGGGAAAAGAAUAUCCCGGUUGACUGUGCUGCGUAUGAUACAUUUCUACGCAUACACCGGAAGGGAGGAUUAUACAUUGGCAUACGUUCCGAGGCACACGCGGUGGAGAUUGAGAGUCGCAUUCAAGAUAUUCAAGCCACUCAGGGUAGGGAUCCGACACCAGAAGAGGUACACGCCAUCUUUAAGGAGGUGGUGAAGAGGGACACGAAAGGCCGUGUGCUCGGGAUGGGAAUGAUGACACAUAUGGUGUCUAGUGGAUCUAGUACUCAGUCCACUAGCACGUCUCAGACUGCCCCUGCUGCUUCUCUUGAGGAGGUCGAGGCGCUAAGAGCUGAAGUGAAUGCUCAGGCUUCUAGAGGGAACAACCUCGAGGCACGUAUCCUGGAGCAAGAUGGCACCAUUAAUGAUCUCAAGAGUAUGUUGGCGGAGUUGAUGGCAAAUAUGAAGAAGGGUCAUAAUCCUUGAUACUUUUUAUGAAGUUUGAAUUUAUGUUGUGUUGAGUUUGGAUUUAUGUAGUAACUAUGGAGUUAGAAUUUAUGAUACUUGAUAUUUAACUUAAUUUAGGUAUGUUGAAUUUGGAUGUUUAGUAAGUAUGUUUGACUUUGGAUGUUUAGUAAGUAUGUUUGAAUUUGGAUGUCUAGUAAAUAUGUUUGAAUUUGGAUGUUUAUUAUAAGUAUAUUUGAAUUUGAAUAUUUUAUAUUGAUUUU